GUUUUUUCAUGGAGAGUUUGAUCCUGGCUCAGGACGAACGCUGGCGGCGUGCUUAACACAUGCAAGUCGAACGGAAAGGCCCAGCUUGCUGGGUACUCGAGUGGCGAACGGGUGAGUAACACGUGGGUGAUCUGCCCUGCACUCUGGGAUAAGCCUGGGAAACUGGGUCUAAUACCGGAUAUGACCAACUGUCGCAUGGUGGUUGGUGGAAAGCUUUUGCGGUGUGGGAUGGGCCCGCGGCCUAUCAGCUUGUUGGUGGGGUAAUGGCCUACCAAGGCGACGACGGGUAGCCGACCUGAGAGGGUGAUCGGCCACACUGGGACUGAGACACGGCCCAGACUCCUACGGGAGGCAGCAGUGGGGAAUAUUGCACAAUGGGCGCAAGCCUGAUGCAGCGACGCCGCGUGAGGGAUGACGGCCUUCGGGUUGUAAACCUCUUUCACCAGGGACGAAGCGGAAGUGACGGUACCUGGAGAAGAAGCACCGGCCAACUACGUGCCAGCAGCCGCGGUAAUACGUAGGGUGCGAGCGUUGUCCGGAAUUACUGGGCGUAAAGAGCUCGUAGGCGGUUUGUCGCGUCGUCUGUGAAAUUCUGCAACUCAAUUGCAGGCGUGCAGGCGAUACGGGCAGACUUGAGUACUACAGGGGAGACUGGAAUUCCUGGUGUAGCGGUGAAAUGCGCAGAUAUCAGGAGGAACACCGGUGGCGAAGGCGGG
rnacentral:rRNA from 1 species